rnacentral:rRNA from 1 species
AUUGAACGCUGGCGGCAUGCUUUACACAUGCAAGUCGAACGGUAACAGGCCGCAAGGUGCUGACGAGUGGCGAACGGGUGAGUAAUGCAUCGGAACGUGCCCAGUCGUGGGGGAUAACGCAGCGAAAGCUGCGCUAAUACCGCAUACGAUCUAUGGAUGAAAGCGGGGGACCGUAAGGCCUCGCGCGACUGGAGCGGCCGAUGUCAGAUUAGGUAGUUGGUGGGGUAAAGGCUCACCAAGCCAACGAUCUAUAGCUGGUCUGAGAGGACGACCAGCCAAACUGGGACUGAGACACGGCCCAGACUCCUACGGGAGGCAGCAGUGGGGAAUUUUGGACAAUGGGCGCAAGCCUGAUCCAGCAAUGCCGCGUGCAGGAAGAAGGCCUUCGGGUUGUAAACUGCUUUUGUACGGAACGAAACGGUCCUGGUUAAUACCCGGGGCUAAUGACGGUACCGUAAGAAUAAGCACCGGCUAACUACGUGCCAGCAGCCGCCGUAACAC